rnacentral:rRNA from 1 species
GACGAACGCUGGCGGCGCGCCUAAUACAUGCAAGUCGAACGAGAAGCCGGGAGCUUGCUCCCGGUGGAAAGUGGCGGACGGGUGAGGAACACGUGAGGAACCUGCCCUGGAGACCGGGAUAACACCGGGAAACCGGUGCUAAUACCGGUUGCCCUCACCGGACCGCAUGAUCCGGUGAGGAAAUGGAUUCCGCUCCAGGGUGGUCUCGCGGCCUAUCAGCGUGUUGGUGGGGUAACGGCUCACCAAGGCUUCGACAGGUAGCUGGUCUGAGAGGAUGUCCAGCCACACUGGGACUGAGACACGGCCCAGACUCCUACGGGAGGCAGCAGUAGGGAAUCUUGCGCAAGGAGCGAAAGCGUGACGCGGCGACGCCGCGUGCGGGAUGAAGGCCCUCGGGUCGUAAACCGCUUUCAGCAGGGACGAAAUUGACGGUACCUGCAGAAGAAGCCCCGGCCAACUACGUGCCAGCCGCCGCAGUAA